UCCCUCGUAGCUCAGUCGGUAAAGAAUCUGCCUACAGUGCAGGAGACCCAGGUUUGAUUCCUGGAUUGGGAA
rnacentral:tRNA from 1 species